UACGAAGGGGGCUAGCGUUGCUCGGAAUUACUGGGCGUAAAGGGCGCGUAGGCGGCACUGUUAGUCAGGCGUGAAAGUCCUGGGCUCAACCUGGGAACUGCGCUUGAUACGGCAGAGCUAGAGGAUGGAAGAGGGUCGCGGAAUUCCCAGUGUAGAGGUGAAAUGCGUAGAUAUCUGGAGGAACACCGGUGGCGAAGGCGGCAUCCUGGACCGGCAUUGACGCUGAGGCGCGAAAGCCAGGGGAGCAAACGGG
rnacentral:rRNA from 1 species